CUAUCAGCUAGUCGGCGGGGUAACGGCCCACCAAGGCGACGACGGGUAGCUGGUCUGAGAGGAUGGCCAGCCACAUUGGGACUGAGAAACGGCCCAGACUCCUACGGGAGGCAGCAGUGGGGAAUAUUGCGCAAUGGUCGAGAGACUGACGCAGCGACGCCGCGUGUGGGAUGAAGCUCUUCGGGGUGUAAACCACUGUUGCCCGGGACGAACGGGAGGAUCAAUCCUCCGUGACGGUACCGGGUGAGGAAGCACCGGCUAACUCCGUGCCAGCAGCCGCGGUAAUACGGAGGGUGCGAGCGUUGUCCGGAAUCACUGGGCGUAAAGGGCGCGUAGGUGGCCUUGUAAGCGGGCGGUGAAAGUCCGGGGCUCAACCCCGGAUCGGCCGUGCGGACUGCGAGGCUCGAGCACUGUAGAGGCCGGUGGAAUUCCGGGUGUAGCGGUGGAAUGCGUAGAGAUCCGGAGGAACACCAGUGGCGAAGGCGGCCGGCUGGGCAGUGGCUGACACUGAGGCGCGACAGCGUGGGGAGCAAACAGGAUUAGAUA
rnacentral:rRNA from 1 species